rnacentral:rRNA from 1 species
GACGUAGGGCGCAAGCGUUGUCCGGAUUUAUUGGGCGUAAAGAGCUCGUAGGCGGCUUGCCGCGUCGACUGUGAAAACCUGCGGCUCAACCGUAUGGUCUGCAGUCGAUACGGGCAGGCUAGAGUUCGGUAGGGGAGACUGGAAUUCCUGGUGUAGCGGUGAAAUGCGCAGAUAUCAGGAGGAACACCGGUGGCGAAGGCGGGUCUCUGGGCCGAUACUGACGCUGAGGAGCGAAAGCGUGGGGAGCGAACAGG